UCUAUUGUAAGAGCGGCAUCAGUCGUCUUCUUAGGCACCUAUCUCCGCCGUUCUCGUCCUGCGAUCGCCAAUCUCGUGUGCCGACCACCAUUUGGCCUCCGCGUCUUAUUUCUUUAGAAUUGUUGAAUGCAGGAAUUCAAUGAGUCCAAGAGGACGAAUUCAACUGGAAGUCGAAAGAUCAAGAUUCAGUGAAUUAAAUAUGAUAUUGUUGGUGCCUUGUGGUUCUAUUACAAAAAUGAAGGAAAUAUGCUAGUGUUUUCUAUUCUCAGGCUCCAGUGCCUCUAGAAUUUCUGGGAAAAAUGAAGAAGAUGGCACUUUCAUUGUAUUCCCAGGUGUGCAGGCCGUGGAUUGGACCGUAAUCUUGGUGUUUGGCUGAUCUUCCCACGAUUAGAAUGGCUCAGCAGACUGUUUGAGUUUGAAUUAAUUGAGGAUUCCCUUGUUUUGGAGAAUGAGGGACAAUCAUGAUUUCUCUUCGGAUUAGCUGCAUUAGAGCGCCUGAUAAAGUUCACAGGAUGCAAAAAUUUUCUCCUCGUGGGACAUUGUUGGGAAGCCGAUUAGCACCAUUAUCCACUUAUGGGCAUCUAAAACAUUAAAGGUAAGAGAAACAUCACUUUGCAUCACCUAAUCUGAUAACAACUAGUAGCUGCACACAACUGCCACAAAUAAUGAUUCUGUAGUUUCUUCUUAUAAUCUUGAAGAACAAUUUUUAUUGGUAGUAUUGGAGAAAUUACCUUAUGCAUGUGCUUAAUUUGUUUGAUUGGUAAUUUAGAUAGAAAAUCUGUUUGCCUAACAUUGAACUUAAGUAAUGUUAUUUCAUUCUCUGUUUUCACUAGGCACGUACUGUGGGCAAAGAAUAACGGAAAAGCUCUUGUCUAUCUAUCGAAUUUUAGAUAUUGAUUUUUCAUAGAAAGAUAUCUGCACUUCUUGAAAUUUGAUAGUUUAUGACACUUUGCUGCAAGAUUUUCACUUUUGAUGUUUCUUUUCUAAAGUUCGAAAACUUACAACAAACUGCAAAUCCAAGUUCGGGGAGUUUUAUCUUCAAUUAAUUAAAGCAAAAAUCAGACAACCAUUGUUUACAUAUGUUGAGUUUGUCAAUUACACCAUGGUGAUGGUCUUACAACUACUCGAAGGUAAUGGGAAUUCAUGCACUGACAGCUUGACUUUAAUCAACAUAUGUGUCACUUUCUGACCCGUAAGUAAGUUUUUAUUUCCUACUAUUAUCCUUGUUACCAUCAGUUUCAGCCUAUCUCCUAACUUUAUAUGUGUGUGUAUAUAUAUUGGACUGUAAGGGCCAUCUGUAUGCUGUCUUUCAAUAUGAGUUUAAAAAUCUGGCCGAAUUGAUGGGCCAACAGAGCAUACUUUUUUAAUGCAUCUAGACAGGUUUCUUGAUCGUGAAGAACUUUUGCCAUGUUGUUUAUGCUUUUACAAUUCUGUCUUAAUGCAAUUUGCUGCUAGUGAUCCUUCCUUUGCUAGAACUUUGGUUUGGAAAAGUUUUGGCUUUGAUCGGUAACUGGGAGUCUACUACUUUAGGAGCAGGUAAUGCUAGUGAAGAUGAUCCCGACAAGUAUUUAGCCGAAUGAUACAGUCUUCAACUUGCUUCACAAUAACACACUAGCUUUUAUGACACACACAAGAACCUUGCGGUUUCUUUUCCGCAACAUCAACAUCCAUUAUCUUUUGAACAAAUUUGGCCUAUUAUAAAUAAGAAUACUUUAUUUGUAGUACUUUUGGUCUUCAGUGGAAAAGGCCUUUGUUUAGACUUGAGGAUCAAGUUCCUCUUUUUUAUAUUAAAAUUACCUGUUGCAA